ACGCUGGAUGAUGUUUGGGAAAGUUCAGUCACUACGAGUCUUUUCUGCGAUGGCAGGAGUCUCGGCUGAGACUUCGACUUGUGUGUUUGACUACAGAAGUCUCCUGUCUUCCCACAGGUGGUCGACUUUCUGUACAACUGAGGUCCCAGCAUGACUUUGUUGAUAAAGUUGACGAUGGCGACAGCUGGCUGCUCGGGGUCCAUCUCUGCAAACAGGUGACAGACGUUUUCUGUGGAACUGCCCGUCCGCCUGGCCACAAAGCCGAACAUCCUGCAGAGAACAAGCAGACGAGUUGGAGAGUAAAGAGAUGUUGGAGAGUAAAAGGCCACGUCCAGUUCAGUCUUGCCAAACCACAGCUGGGCUCCGUGCACGGUGCAGGUGUGAAACUGGACUCUGAAGAGCACCUCCCUCUCUGCUGCUUGACUCCGCCGGUGAUAGCACUUCACCUGCAGAGAAGGAGGCAUGUCAAACUAAGUUGAUGAGGAUUCAGGCUGUAUAAACCUUGCAGUGGAGGACCACUACAUUACUGGGGUCAGAGGUCAGCCAAGUCUCCAUUGCCUUACAGACGGCACAGAUCCUGUCCAAGGGUGGGGCGUGAAGAUCAGGCCAGCCGUAGUCCUGCACCUAUGAAGAAGCAGAGGAAAAUACACAUAGAGGCCACUUCCUGGAGGUUCCUGCGGUAGCGCUGUUCCUCCAGGUCUGGCAGGAAGAAGACGGAGAUGAUCCUCUCUGUGAUGUAGAAGAUUGAGUUGGGAGAGAUUGAUCGAGUUUACUGGAGGACGACUCGACAUGUGGCGUGCAGUUCUUCUUCUCUGCUGGAUGACUGACAGCUGAGCUGCCCUCCUUGGCUGAGUGCUGGCCCGUGCUGACAGGUGUCAGACAACAGGUUAACAAGUCAAAUGCCUGACAAUCACAAUGAUCUAUGACUGAAAAGCCCCCAGGACAACAACAGCAGUCAGGUAGUUAUGUACUGUGGUAAAGAAAAGACAAAUUUUAUACCUUCUUCCAUUCAGAUCUUCUAUUAGAUUAAAUCACUACUUUGUAAACUGUCCCAGCUCUGACACUCAG